rnacentral:tRNA from 1 species
GCCCUGCUGGCCCAAUGGAUAAGGAGCCACCCUCCUAAGGUGGAGAUUCCGAGUUCGAUCCUCGGGUAGAUGCC